rnacentral:rRNA from 1 species
AUUGAACGCUGGCGGCAGGCCUAACACAUGCAAGUCGAGCGCGAAAGGCCUUCGGGCUGAGUAGAGCGGCGGACGGGUGAGUAACGCGUAGGAAUCUACCUGGUAGUGGGGGACAACUUGGGGAAACUCAAGCUAAUACCGCAUACGCCCUAUGGGGGAAAGCGGGGGACCUUCGGGCCUCGCGCUAUCAGAUGAGCCUGCGUAGGAUUAGCUAGUUGGUGAGGUAAAGGCUCACCAAGGCGACGAUCCUUAGCUGGUCUGAGAGGAUGAUCAGCCACACUGGGACUGAGACACGGCCCAGACUCCUACGGGAGGCAGCAGUGGGGAAUAUUGCGCAAUGGGGGCAACCCUGACGCAGCCAUGCCGCGUGUGUGAAGAAGGCCUUCGGGUUGUAAAGCACUUUAAGUGGGGAGAAAGGCCCGCUGGUUAAUAGCCAUCGGGAUUGAUGUUACCCACAGAAUAAGCACCGGCUAACUCCGUGCCAGCAGCCGCCGCGGUAA